rnacentral:lncRNA from 1 species
GGACAUCUGGCAGGCCGGGGCAAGUCGGUUGACCAGUUGAGAUAAUUCAAACUGAGGUUGAGUUCAGAUAAGUGGACUAUCAGAGUGCAGUCCGGUAAGAUGUUGGGGUUCAUUGUAAGGGAGGAAUCGAGGUUGAUCCUACUAAAAAAAAAAAAAAAAACAAACAAAAAAGAACAAUAAGAGAAACGCCUGAACCGAGAACAUAAAGGAGGGGUUCGUGGUUUCAUAGAUAGAUUGAAC